rnacentral:misc_RNA from 1 species
AUGCGAUAAGUAAUGUGAAUUGCAGAAUUCAGUGAAUCAUCGAAUCUUUGAACGCACAUUGCGCCCGCCGGCACUCCGGCGGGCAUGCCUGUCCGAGCGUCAUUUCAACCCUCGGGCCCUCCCUUCGCGGGGAUCGGGCCCGGCGUUGGGGACCGGAGGCCGCUUCGGCGGCACCCGCCCCCUAAAUUCAGUGGCGGUCGCGCCGCAGCCUCCCCUGCGUAGUAGCACACCUCGCACCGGAGAGCGGCACGGCCACGCCUCGAAACCCCCCAAUUUAUCAAGGUUGACCUCGGAUCAGGUAGGAAUACCCGCUGAACUUAA